UACGUGAGUCACGAACGUUAUCCGGUUUUACUGGGUUUAAAGGGUGCGUAGACGGUGUAAUUAGUUAUUAUGGGAAGCAGAGCUCAACUUUGCGGAUAAUAGUAAUACUGUUACGCUAGAGGCAAUGAGAGGUCAAUAGAAUCUCGCAUGGAGAGGUAAAAUUCAGAGAUAUGCGAGGGAAUACCAAAAAAGGCGAAGGCAAUUGACUAUUGUUGAUCUGACGUUGAGGCACGAAAGUAUGGGGAGCAAAUCGG
rnacentral:rRNA from 1 species